GAAAGGGUGGGUAAUACCGAAUGUGCUCGGGUCUCGCAUGAGACCCUAUGUAAAGGUGGGGAUUCUUCGGAACCUGCCACUCCUAGAUAGGCCCAUAUCCUAUCAGCUUGUUGGUAAGGUAAUGGCUUACCAAGGCUUACGGGUAGCCGACCUGAGAGGGUGACCGGCCACACUGGGACUGAGACACUGCCCAGACUCCUACGGGAGGCUGCAGUCGAGAAUCAUUGUCAAUGCACGAAAGUGUGAACAUGCGACGCCGCGUGGAGGACGACGGCCUUCGGGUUGUAAACUCCUGUCCUGAGGGAGUAAGUGCACAUUCCUUAAUACGGUUUGUGUUUGAUAGUACCUCAGAAGAAAGUCACGGCUAACUCUGUGCCAGCAGCCGCGGUAAUACAGAGGUGGCAAGUGUUGUUCGGAUUUACUGGGCGUAAAGGGUCCGCAGGCGGUCCUGUGUGUCGGAUGUGAAAGCUCACGGCUUAACCGUGGAAUUGCAUUCGAAACUACAGGACUAGAGUACAGGAGGGGAGUAGGGAAUUCAGGGUGUAGCGGUGAAAUGCGUAGAUAUCC
rnacentral:rRNA from 1 species